GGGGAGCACGAGGAGCCGGGAUCGCCGAUCCUGCUGCAGGUGGCGGCCAGCAUGGCCAGCGGCGUGUUGCCCAAGCGGGGCUCCUCCUGUGGAGAGAGCGGAUCACUUUAGACGGAGUCCGGGUUCAACGCGGUUCUGUUUCAGCAAAUAUAAACAGAAGUGAACUCACCCCCAGCAGUGUAGCGGCCAUGUGCACCGAUGUCUUCAGCUGCGUGUCCGCGUGCGUCUGGAUGGGAUGAGUCUGUUUCCUCCCUGGCUGCCGUGCUAGUUGUAGCGUCUUGGCCGCUUUGAAGUGCCGCUGACACCCCGAGGACCAAUCAGAGGGCACCUCGCAACGCCUCCAUACGCAACAAGUGGGUCAGUAAUACUUCAGUCGGGACAACAGCGGCGAUUAAUGGGAACCACCUUCGACCAGCAGCGUAAUGUAAUAAUUGUAGUAGCUUUAUAUGAAAAGCAUUGCUCAAUGUUAAGGAAUGAAAGUGAGAGCAUCCACGUCACCGCGUUCAACAGUUUGUUUGUUUAUUUCUGCAGAUGUGUCACGUGUUUGUUUUGUUUUUUUUGUCCCCUGGAUAUGAUGAAGCCGUGCAGAGGCAGGGGCUGAUGAAUGAGAGGCCGCCCGGUCCGUCCCAUCCUGUCCCUGGGGCGGAUCCAGUCGGCCCUGGGGGAGGGCAGGGGGGGAGCGGGCACUCCCUCUACAAUCUAAGCUCAUUCAGCUCAAAACAAAUGUUGUCAUUGAAAACACAUCCUUCCUUUCUCACCUAUGUAAAUUGUUCAAAUGCACGGCUGAUAAACAGGUAAAUCUUGAAUAGUUGGCAAAAAAAAAGGGUCGUCAGCAUUUCAAUGUGCCCGCGAAAAUGAAGGAAGCGUUUCAUUUGAAUUUCAAAUUUAAUAAAACAGUAGAACUUAA